rnacentral:rRNA from 1 species
AUACGCUCGUCUCAAAGAUUAAGCCAUGCAUGUGUAAGUAUAACUGAUUGACUUUGAAACUGCGAAUGGCUCAUUAUAUCAGUUAUAGUUUAUUUGGUGAAGGAUACUAAUUGGAUAACCGUAGUAAUUCUAGGGCUAAUACAUGAGUAAAGUCCCAUUGGGAUGUGUUUAUUAGAAUGAAAACCAUAUGCUUCGGCAUGAUAGUGAGUAAUAGUAACCUAUCGUAUCGCAUGCUUAACGUAGCGAUGAGUCUUUCAAGUUUCUGCCCUAUCAGCUUUCGAUGGUAGCAUAUGGGUCUACCAUG